rnacentral:rRNA from 1 species
AAGUGCGAAUGCUGACAUAAGUAACGAUAAAACGGGUGAAAAACCCGUUCGCCGGAAGACCAAGGGUUCCUGUCCAACGUUAAUCGGGGCAGGGUGAGUCGGCUCCUAAGGCGAGGCUGAAAAGCGUAGUCGAUGGGAAACAGGUUAAUAUUCCUGUACUUGGUAAAGCUGCGAUGUGGGGACGGAGUAGGUUAGGUUAUCGCACUGUUGGAUAUGUGCGUUUAAGUUGGUAGGUGGGAAGUUUAGGCAAAUCCGGGCUUCCUUAACACAGAGAGAUGAUGACGAGGCUCUACGGAGCUGAAGUAACUGAUACCACACUUCCAGGAAAAGCCACUAAGCGAAAGGCUUUACUAAACCGUACUGAAAACCGACACAGGUGGUCAGGUAGAGAAUACUCAGGCGCUUGAGAGAACUCGGGUGAAGGAACUAGGCAAAAUAGCACCGUAACUUCGGGAGAAGGUGCGCCGGCGUAGAUUGUAAGGGCUAGCCCCUGAAGGUUGAACCGGUCGAAGAUACCAGCUGGCUGCAACUGUUUAUUAAAAACACAGCACUCUGCAAACACGAAAGUGGACGUAUAGGGUGUGAUGCCUGCCCGGUGCUGGAAGGUUAAUUGAUGGUGUAAUCGAAAGAGAAGCACCUGAUCGAAGCCCCAGUAAACGGCGGCCGUAACUAUAACGGUCCUAAGGUAGCGAAAUUCCUUGUCGGGUAAGUUCCGACCUGCACGAAUGGCAUAAUGAUGGCCAGGCUGUCUCCACCCGAGACUCAGUGAAAUUGAAAUCGCCGUGAAGAUGCGGUGUACCCGCGGCUAGACGGAAAGACCCCGUGAACCUUUACUAUAGCUUGACACUGAACAUUGAAUUUUGAUGUGUAGGAUAGGUGGGAGCCUUUGAAGCAGUGACGCCAGUCAUUGUGGAGGCGACCUUGAAAUACCACCCUUUAACGUUUGAUGUUCUAACGAAGAUGACGAAACGUGGUCUCGGACAGUGUCUGGUGGGUAGUUUGACUGGGGCGGUCUCCUCCCAAAGCGUAACGGAGGAGCACGAAGGUUUGCUAAUCACGGUCGGACAUCGUGAGGUUAGUGCAAUGGUAUAAGCAAGCUUAACUGCGAGACAGACAAGUCGAGCAGGUACGAAAGUAGGUCAUAGUGAUCCGGUGGUUCUGAAUGGAAGGGCCAUCGCUCAACGGAUAAAAGGUACUCCGGGGAUAACAGGCUGAUACCGCCCAAGAGUUCAUAUCGACGGCGGUGUUUGGCACCUCGAUGUCGGCUCAUCACAUCCUGGGGCUGAAGUAGGUCCCAAGGGUAUGGCUGUUCGCCAUUUAAAGUGGUACGCGAGCUGGGUUUAGAACGUCGUGAGACAGUUCGGUCCCUAUCUGCCGUGGGCGUAGGAGAAUUGGUUGGGGCUGCUCCUAGUACGAGAGGACCGGAGUGGACGCACCACUGGUGUUCCGGUUGUGUCGCCAGACGCAUUGCCGGGUAGCUAAGUGCGGAAGAGAUAAGUGCUGAAAGCAUCUAAGCACGAAACUUGCCAAGAGAUGAGUUCUCCCAAUCUAAGAGAUUGUAAGGGUUGUUGUAGACUACGACGUAGAUAGGUCUGGUGUGUAAGUGUAGUGAUGCAUUGAGCUAACAGAUACUAAUUGCCCGAGAGGCUUAACUAU